AGAGGGAAACUCAUUGGCAGGGACACACAUUGAGUGCUGAGAAGACCCUUGAGAAGGUCUGAGACUUGGUCAACUAGAAUCCCUAAUGGGGCCCUCCCCAAGUGGGAAGAUGAGUUUCAAGAGAGCAGGGUUCUGGGCUGGGCCUGACCAAGUUGGAGAGGUCAUGCUGCAAGCAUGGGAAAUACCCCUCCCCUCACAGCAGCUUGGAACAGACUCACAUCCAGCCAGUCAAGUGGGCUCAAUGGCUGAGGUGAGCCACCCUUUAGUCCUCAUAACCCAAUUCAGACUACUCUCCCAUGCCUUU
rnacentral:RNase_P_RNA from 1 species